rnacentral:rRNA from 1 species
CUCUCCCUCUUUCUUCCGGCUUAACACAUGCAAGUCGAGCGGGCCCUUCGGGGUCAGCGGCGGACGGGUGAGUAACGCGUGGGAACGUGCCUUCUGGUCUGGAAUAACCCUGGGAAACUAGGGCUAAUACCGGAUACGCCCUUUUGGGGAAAGGUUUACUGCCGGAAGAUCGGCCCGCGUCUGAUUAGCUAGUUGGUGGGGUAACGGCCUACCAAGGCGACGAUCAGUAGCUGGUCUGAGAGGAUGAUCAGCCACACUGGGACUGAGACACGGCCCAGACUCCUACGGGAGGCAGCAGUGGGGAAUAUUGGACAAUGGGCGCAAGCCUGAUCCAGCCAUGCCGCGUGAGUGAUGAAGGCCUUAGGGUUGUAAAGCUCUUUUAUCCGGGACGAUAAUGACGGUACCGGAGGAAUAAGCCCCGGCUAACUUCGUG